rnacentral:rRNA from 1 species
ACUCCCGUGCGUCGGACCUUGCGAAGCAAAUUGUCACUGAGUCGAGUUGUUUGGGAUUGCAGCUCCAAUUGUACGGUGGUAAAUUCCAUCUCAAGCUAAAUAUCAAUGGGGGACCGAUAGCGUACAAGUACCGUGAGGGAAAGAUGCAAAGAACUUUGAAAAGAGAGUGAAAGAGUACCUGAAAUUGCUGAAAAGGAAGCGAACGAAGCUMGUGAAAGCURCGUCAUACUUUCCAAUUUGCUUGCAAUUUGGACGCUGUGGCCAGCCCAGUUGGGCUUGAUUGCGACUGGUGAAAGCAGGCAUCGAAAAGAUUCCAUUUUCAWUCGCCCUUUUUUACUSCACCAGUUGCGUUUGAGCUGAACGAAAUAGAUUUGUUUGCCCCGUCUAGAAACACGGACCAAGGAGUCUAACAUAUGUGCGAGUACUGGGGCAGCAAACCUCGGUGCGCAAUGAAAGUGUCAGAGGCUGGAAUGUUUAUUKRKUAUUCAUUGCACAGUCCGCCSGCCUCMAUCCUUCSGGAAAAUGGUCUGARUGUGARCAUACAUGUUGGGACCCGAAAGAWGGUGAACUAUGCUUGARUAGGGUGAAGCCAGGGGAAACUUUGGUGAAGGCUCGCAGCGAUUCUGACGUGCAAAUCGAUCGUCAAACUUGAGUAUAGGGGCGAAAGACUAAUCGAACUAUCUAGUAGCUG